GCGACGGUCGUCUAGCGGCCCAAGACAACCCCGGGCAGGGGUCAACACCGGUUCGAAUCCGGUCCGUCGCA
rnacentral:tRNA from 1 species